GCCCUGGUGGUGGAAUCGGUAGACACGUUGGACUUAAAAUCCAAUGGGGCUAAUAACCUCGUGCCAGUUCAAGUCUGGCCCAGGGCACCA
rnacentral:tRNA from 1 species